rnacentral:rRNA from 1 species
UACGGAGGAUCCAAGCGUUAUCCGGAAUCAUUGGGUUUAAAGGGUCCGUAGGCGGGCUUAUAAGUCAGUGGUGAAAUCUCCCAGCUCAACUGGGAAACUGCCAUUGAUACUGUAGGUCUUGAAUUAUUAGGAAGUAACUAGAAUAUGUAGUGUAGCGGUGAAAUGCUUAGAUAUUACAUGGAAUACCAAUUGCGAAGGCAGCUUACUAUGGUUUUAUUGACGCUGAGGCACGAAAGCGUGGGGAUCAAACAGG